rnacentral:lncRNA from 1 species
UCGUCACAUUUUUCUCAGGAACUACACAUCCACCCUUUCUGUAAUUUGGUAUCAGCAUUGAUAUAUGUCAGCCAUACCGUGUGAUGCGUUUUCAGAUUCAUCACUUGACAACUUCCUGUUUACCGAACACUUGUCUGAUUUUACACAUGAUAGCCAAGUUGAAAAUUUUCGUCACAUUUUUCUCAGGAAAUACAAUACAAGGAUUUCUGAAAUUUGGUUUCAGGAUUUAUAUAAGUCAGCUAUACCGUGUGAUGCGUUUUCAGAUUCAUCACUCGACAACUUCCUGUUUACCGAACACUUGUAUGAUUUUACACAUGAUAGCCAAGUUGAAAAUUUUCGUCACAUUUUUCUCAGGAACUACAAUACAAGGAUUUCUGAAAUUUGGUUUCAGGAUUUAUAUAAGUCAGCUAUACCGUGUGAUGCGUUUUCAGAUUCAUCACUUGACAACUUCCUGUUUACCAAACACUUCCAUAUUUUUACACUAUUAAUAUUAUCCACUUGCGGCGGGGGUAUCAUCAGUGAGCAGUAGCUCGCAGUUUCACUUGUUAUGAUA